UUUGUCAGAUCGUUGCCAUUCAUGCCUUGUCCCAGCACUUCCUCGUUCCUGACCCCGAAUCCCGAAUCCCAAAUCCUGGCGUACCGACCUCUGCCUGUGACUCCAACCAUCCCAAUGGUACGGGAGCAACUUAUCUCCGCGAGGCUCUCAUCUCUCCAAGCGUGGGGUUUCACAGCUUUGCCGGCCGCUAUCUGGGACUCUGGCAUGCGGGUCCGACGCCGGCACGAGAUCAGACGGCGCGCGCUGUGUUGCCCAACGCGCUAGAUGGUUCUUCUUUUGGGGUCAAGUUCGCAGGCCAGUAAAUCCGGGAGGACCGUCAGGGGCGUCAGUCGGACCAAGUGAUAUCCAAGAAAGCUCAGGUUCCCAGUGGGGGCUACGUGACAAGCUCGAUCAUUUCUGACGGAUUAGGUGGCAGUCCGCUUCGGUUUCGGGGACGGGUGAAGAGUCAAAGAUCCAACAAGGCCGAACUGUGUAGUACAAGAACACAACGCGUGAGCCGGCUGACUGCAACAUUCUUUGCCCUCGACUUCACUCGAAUUUGGACUUAAACUAAGUGGUCUUGACUGCGGCCCAUCUGCAGAAUCGCUAAUCAUCCAUCAUGUCUUUGAGUUGAACUACGAAGCGGAUCGCGCGGACCUAUAAGGAUGUUAGCACGACGUCUUCUGAGGGGGCAGACGUUUGAACAUUUGACCACCCUGUUAGCUUGUUUACAAUCUGUACACGGGCCCUAUUUAUAGACUCUUGUUCUGGUUGGUAACAAACAACAGCUUGUGUUCAAGAUGUCGUGAGGCACCGUUGUAACUUGUGCGCCACAUGUGACGGGAAUGGCCCGUGAGGGGGUCUCUCUUGUCAAGGUGGGGUGAAGCGGGCCAAUGUCAAAAAAAAAAAAAAAAAGCAGCGCUAAGUGUCGGAACAAAAAGUCUGAUCUAAAUUAGGCCUGGGCGCAGAUGCAUGCAGGUUGUAGAUGAACAAAUCAACUGGAGAGAUGGUUGUACUAGUGUGUGUGUGGAGUGGAGUGGGGUGGGGUGGGGUGGGGGUCGUGGUGUUGGGUAGGGUGCGUCUGAGCUCACAGCUGGGAGAGUAGUGUGCGAACUCUGCCAAAGCCUCGGCACAUGACUCCCACCACUUGUCAAAAAAUCACCAUGUGUGCAAUAAUGUGAUUACAGUCUGGUUACUAUUAUGAUUUUGAAACAACACACUUGUGCGGAAUGGCGAUCGAGGGUGGAAGGCGGCGGUUGGACGGAGAGGGGGAGGUCGGUUGGGGGGGGGGGUAGUUGUAAGGGUGAGUUUGGGGUUGAGAGUAAGGAGGAAAGGGAGGUGGGCUGCACUGGGUUCGUUGCCCCUAGGCACCACCCUGCCCUGCCAAAGGACACCGAGCGAAGGGGUGACUUUCUGGGUCUUGUCAUGGAUUUACAAGUUGAGGGAAGCUUUACAUCAUCCCCCCAGCCCCCCACCCCAAUCCUUCUCCUAGUCUCAUGCCAGGUUACACAAUCAAUGGAGUGCACACAAGGGGUUGUCAUCACAGGUGCAGCCGGAGAUUGGCCGAGAUGAAGGAACGCGUCCAGCUCGACGUGUUUGCCACCAGCUCGUGUUUUAAGUACCUCCUGGUUAUCCAAAAUCUUAAGACCAAAUGGCAGAAAAUGCCCCCCAGUCCCUGCCCUCUUUUCUGUAUAACUUCUGGGAUCCUUGUGUGGGUGGUUUCUUGCUUUUUCUUGACCCAUUAAGCAAUGUCAAAUCCUUCCCCGAUAAGGUGUUGGCAACUUUACCCCAAUGGUGUUGUUCUGAAAGAUGUGUUGAAGAUGUCUGGAUUUUCAUUUUUGCAAGACAAAACGGCCAAAAUCUGACUCCGAGGAAAUGCGCCUCAAAGAACUUUGCAGGCCAACAGUUGGCAAAGACUGACGACAUCCCCUAAUUUGAAAUCCCCAAUCGGGAAAGGAAAAACUCAAUCCCCCUCUUGGGGGAAAGAGAAAACUUCAAAAGGAACCAUAGAUGGGGUAGCCCCCUUUUCAGGAUGGACCAGGAUCCAAUGAAUGUCGAGCGGGCGACAGCUUUUCACUGAGUACGGUGCUUUACAGUACCAAUUAAGGUGGCACAAGAACCCAUUUAAAGAGAUGAAGUGCCACUGGUAGAUGCCUCGGGGUAUCUGUUCUGCCACGGGACCUAGCCCAGUCGGUCGGAGCAGAAUCGCCCAUUGCAACGACUCAAGGGAAGUGGACUACCUCAGAUCUUGUCACACUUGGUCGGUCAGGAAUCCAUGCUGCAGUUGUCUCAGAUUCAGUCAUCUCCAAAAUGUGAAGUUUUCUUCAUUUUCGUUCUGUGUCAUUUUGUCAUGUCAUUGCGUAUCCCCCCCACCCCCCGACUCUGAAGCUUUUCCAAG